GGCCAGGUAGCGGCGCAGCAUGAACUCCUCAUACUUGUGCAUGAGCGGCGGGUCGGCGAGCAGCAGGCGGAUGUCAUGGGGGUUGAGCCGCUCGCUGCACUCGGGGCAGCUGAUGGGCACCCGGCUCUCGCUGAUCUCAAGGCGCAGGUAGUGACGGAGGCAGUCCCGGCACGAGCGGUGCGGACAGCUGAGGAGGCGCGGGGCCCGCUCGGGCGGCAGCCGCACCAGGCACAGCGGACACUCCACCUCCUCCGGGCCUGGGCCGCCGCCCUCCGCCACCUCCUCAUCGUCGAACCCAGGCCCGGCCGCCGCCGCCGCCGCUGCCACGGCCUCCGCCUCGGCCUCCGCGCCGGGCUCGGCGGGCAGCGCCUCGGGUGGCGGGGCCUGGGCCGCAGCCGAGGCGGUCGGCGGCGGCGCGGCCGGGGGCGGUGGCUCGGCCUGCGGCUUGGCCCGGGCGCGGCGGCCGCGGGCCGAGGCGGAGAAGACGCUGUGGAAAGUGAGGCGCCGGCGCCGGCCGCCGCUGCGGCACUUGGGGUCGGGCGCGGCCGCGUGUAGCGAUGUGGAACGCGGCGACUCGGAGUCCUUCUCGGAGCCCAUGGCCCGCAGAGGCCGAGGGGCGAGGGGCGCCCAGCGCCGCCACGGCACCCGCUUCCUCAGCCCCUUCAGCGGGUGCCCGGGCCGGCACCACCGCCUCACCCGCCCUCCGCGAGCUAGAACCCGAGCGGCUGCGACGAAGUGGUUAUAAAGCCUCCGCCCCGCGCGCCGCUGCCCACUGCGCAGGCGCCUCGCUGAGACACCUCACAACUCGCGCCGCCCGGACGGAGGGGGGCGCUGGGCGGGGCCGAGCCGGGUGGGGCUGGGUGAGCUGGGGCGGAGCUCUGCCUCCUUCCCGUCAUGUGGCUCCAGGGCGGCCAUCUUGUAGAGACGCUGCGAGGACUUGGUCCAACUGCUUUUUUGGUUUCUUCCUCCAGUUCUAUCACCCUCACCGUCAUCAUUCCCGAAGUGGCAUUCUCAGGUACCCCAGGACCUUGUGGACCAAAUGGGGAUGCUGUUGAAUGGCCACACAUUGUCUCUAGGACCUGUGCUGGCCCUGGAAUUACAGAGGACUCUUAUGUGAUGUUCCAGAUGACUCUACAACUAUAUGGGAAGAACACCUAUCAGUAGAGAAGACAUGGCAUAAUGGAAAACUAACUCCUUCAUCCCUUGCAGGAAUGGAUGCAUGGGAGUCAAUGUGUUAGACUGCAAACAGCAUAGAUUUUGGAGUCAGAAAGAUUUGCACUUGAAUCCUGGCUAAGGCACAAUAGCUGUGUGACCUUGGGCUAGUUACUUAAUUUCUCCAAAUCUCAGUUUCCUCAUCCAGUCAAAUGGGGACAAUGUCCACUUUUUAGGGUUCUUGCGAGAAUUUAAUGAAACAAAGUACCAAAAGCAUCAGACACAAAGAAGACAGUCGAUAAAUAAAAGACCUUUAUCUAUGGUCUUUUUCUUGCAUCACUCUUUACUCACAAACUGCAGAAGAAGUGUGAUGACCUAACUCUAUUAUAAUCCCCUCACGCUUCAAGCUUAUGCUUUGGAGCAGUACUUCUCCAACUCUAAUGUAUACAUGAGUCAUCAGGAGAUGCUGUUAAAAUGCAGAGUCUGAUUCUACAGGUCUGGGCAUCCACGUUUCUUGCAAGCUUCUGGGGCAUGCCUCCAUGUUCUGUUGGCCCAAGGUCCUCACUUUGGAGAUGCAAGGGUAUCUAGAGUCCAGACAAUCACACUCAGUUACUGCUGAGGCUCUGAGCCACUUGUGCCUCACUAGCCAUGGACUGUUGCUGAGUCCAGGAAACAGGCUCAUCACCUCUAU